AGGUGAUUGACACACCCGGCCGUCCACAUGAUGUAAUGCGAUUCCUCAGACCAGGUGCCUUCUUCCUAUAGUGCACCCGGUGCCAUCUCUCCCCCAGGUAAGUGACGCACACAAAUCCG